rnacentral:rRNA from 1 species
GACGAACGCUGGCGGCGUGCUUAACACAUGCAAGUCGAACGUGAUUUUUGUGGAAAGCCCUUCGGGGACGGAAAUGAAAUGAAAGUGGCGAACGGGUGAGUAACACGUGAGCAACCUACCUUACACAGGGGGAUAGCCGUUGGAAACGACGAUUAAUACCGCAUGAGACCACAAAGCCACAUGGCUUAGGGGUAAAAGAUUUAUCGGUGUAAGAUGGGCUCGCGUCUGAUUAGCUAGUUGGAAGGGUAAAGGCCUACCAAGGCAACGAUCAGUAGCCGGUCCGAGAGGAUGAACGGCCACAUUGGAACUGAGACACGGUCCAAACUCCUACGGGAGGCAGCAGUGGGGAAUAUUGCACAAUGGGGGGAACCCUGAUGCAGCGACGCCGCGUGAGCGAAGAAGGUUUUCGAAUCGUAAAGCUCUGUCCUAUGAGAAGAUAAUGACGGUAUCAUAGGAGGAAGCCCCGGCUAAAUACGUGCCAGCAGCCGCGGUAAUACGUAUGGGGCGAGCGUUGUCCGGAAUUAUUGGGCGUAAAGGGUACGUAGGCGGUUUUUUAAGUCAGGUGUGAAAGCGUGAGGCUUAACCUCAUUAAGCACUUGAAACUGGAAGACUUGAGUGAAGGAGAGGAAAGUGGAAUUCCUAGUGUAGCGGUGAAAUGCGUAGAUAUUAGGAGGAAUACCGGUGGCGAAGGCGACUUUCUGGACUUUUACUGACGCUCAGGUACGAAAGCGUGGGGAGCAAACAGG